rnacentral:rRNA from 1 species
AGUCGAGCGGAUGAGUGGAGCUUGCUCCAUGAUUCAGCGGCGGACGGGUGAGUAAUGCCUAGGAAUCUGCCUGGUAGUGGGGGACAACGUUUCGAAAGGAACGCUAAUACCGCAUACGUCCUACGGGAGAAAGUGGGGGAUCUUCGGACCUCACGCUAUCAGAUGAGCCUAGGUCGGAUUAGCUAGUUGGUGAGGUAAAGGCUCACCAAGGCGACGAUCCGUAACUGGUCUGAGAGGAUGAUCAGUCACACUGGAACUGAGACACGGUCCAGACUCCUACGGGAGGCAGCAGUGGGGAAUAUUGGACAAUGGGCGAAAGCCUGAUCCAGCCAUGCCGCGUGUGUGAAGAAGGUCUUCGGAUUGUAAAGCACUUUAAGUUGGGAGGAAGGGCAGUAAGUUAAUACCUUGCUGUUUUGACGUUACCGACAGAAUAAGCACCGGCUAACUUCGUGCCAGCAGCCGCGGUAAUACGAAGGGUGCAAGCGUUAAUCGGAAUUACUGGGCGUAAAGCGCGCGUAGGUGGUUCGUUAAGUUGGAUGUGAAAGCCCCGGGCUCAACCUGGGAACUGCAUCCAAAACUGGCGAGCUAGAGUAUGGCAGAGGGUGGUGGAAUUUCCUGUGUAGCGGUGAAAUGCGUAGAUAUAGGAAGGAACACCAGUGGCGAAGGCGACCACCUGGGCUAAUACUGACACUGAGGUGCGAAAGCGUGGGGAGCAAACAGGAUUAGAUACCCUGGUAGUCCACGCCGUAAACGAUGUCGACUAGCCGUUGGGAUCCUUGAGAUCUUAGUGGCGCAGCUAACGCAUUAAGUCGACCGCCUGGGGAGUACGGCCGCAAGGUUAAAACUCAAAUGAAUUGACGGGGGCCCGCACAAGCGGUGGGCAUGUGGUUUAAUUUCGAAGCAACGCGAAGAACCUUACCAGGCCUUGACNUGCAGAGAACUUUCCAGAGAUGGGAUUGGNGCCUUUCGG